AGCACCCAAAGGCAAACAACCUGUUGCAGCAACGGACAGCAGAGCUGUGAAAUCAAAGGCAAAACACAGAGAGGGAGAGAGAGAGAGAGAUCGAGUGAGUGGAAGUGUGAAAAUGGGGAGGAGGAAGGGAGUUGUGGACUUCGACGAGUCGCCGCCGGAUGACUUCGAUCCGGCGAAUCCGUACAAGGACCCGGUGGCGAUGCUGGAGAUGAGGGAGCACAUAGUGCGAGAGAAGUGGAUCGACAUCGAGAAGGCCAAGAUCAUCAGAGAGAAACUCCGCUGGUGCUACCGCAUCGAAGGCAUCAACCACCUCCAGAAGUGCCGCCACCUCGUCCACCAGUACCUCGAGUCGACUCGCGGCAUCGGUUGGGGCAAGGACCAUCGUCCUCAUGAGUUCCAUGGUCCCAAGGUGGAGGCUGUUGAGGCCGACUGAUCCUUACUUCUUUGAGAACUUUUGGAUGGUUCAUUGAAAGGUCUCAGCAAGCAGAAAGUCUUCACCUUGGAAUUCUGAUCGUCUUUAAACUGGUGAGUAAGUUUGGCGUGUGAGGAAAUGCUUAAAUUGGAGGGAAGUUGGGGAUCACAUACAUCACGAUUUGGUUGCAUUGUUGAUAUUCAGUUCUGUCUUAUCUAGACUUUGUCAUACCAGUAUUCUCUUUUCUUUCGUGUUACAGAUGAAGGCCAGAUUUCAGGCAUCGACUGUUGACUAGAUUGUUAGCUUCCAAAAAGUGAAGGUGAUUUGGACUGGGCCUGUGCCUAGAUUAAAAAAUAAAUUUCUUGUCUUUGGUUAUGCAUCAGAAAUGUUUUGCGUUGCUAAAUUGAUAAGAAAAAACAGUUGUUAACUUUCCAAUGCAUUUGCUUAAAGGGAAUGGUGAAUGGAGCUUUAGUUAUUGUAGCAUA